ACGGUGAUAUCGUAAACAUUCUGACCACAAUAACUGUUAAUAACAAUAACAACAGUAGUAAGCAACAACCCCAAUGGAAUGGAAUGAUGCGAUCAUUUAUC
rnacentral:sRNA from 14 species